UACGUAGGUGGCAAGCGUUGUCCGGAUUUACUGGGCGUAAGGAGCGCGCAGGCGGUCGUUCAAGUCGCGUGUGAAAGCCCCCGGCUCAACUGGGGAGGGUCACGCGAUACUGAUCGACUCGAAGGCAGGAGAGGGAAGUGGAAUUCCCGGUGUAGUGGUGAAAUGCGUAGAUAUCGGGAGGAACACCAGUGGCGAAGGCGACUACCUGGCCUGUUCUUGACGCUGAGGCGCGAAAGCUAGGGGAGCAAACGGG
rnacentral:rRNA from 1 species